rnacentral:rRNA from 1 species
CCUACGGGAGGCAGCAGUGAGGAAUAUUGGUCAAUGGACGGAAGUCUGAACCAGCCAUGCCGCGUGCAGGAAGACGGCUCUAUGAGUUGUAAACUGCUUUUGUACAAGGGUAAACCUGAAUACGUGUAUUCAGCUGAAAGUAAUGUAAGAAUAAGGAUCGGCUAACUCCGUGCCAGCAGCCGCGGUAAUACGGAGGAUCCAAGCGUUAUCCGGAUUUAUUGGGUUUAAAGGGUGCGUAGGCGGAUUGAUAAGUUAGAAGUGAAAUGUCCGAGCUUAACUCGGGAACUGCCUCUAAUACGGUUGAACUAGAGAGUAGGUGCGGUAGGCGGAAUGUAUGGUGUAGCGGUGAAAUGCGUAGAGAUCAUACAGAACACCGAUUGCGAAGGCAGCUUACCAAUCUAUAUCUGACGUUGAGGCACGAAGGCGUGGGGAGCAAACAGGAUUAGAUACCCCAGUAGUC